rnacentral:rRNA from 1 species
UACGGGGGGAGCAAGCGUUGUUCGGAUUUACUGGGCGUAAAGGGCGCGUAGGCGGCCACGACAAGUCAGUUGUGAAAUCUCUGGGCUUAACUCAGAACGGUCAACUGAUACUGUCGGGCUAGAGUGCAGAAGGGGCAACUGGAAUUCUCGGUGUAGCGGUGAAAUGCGUAGAUAUCGAGAGGAACACCUGCGGCGAAGGCGGGUUGCUGGGCUGACACUGACGCUGAGGCGCGAAAGCUAGGGGAGCAAACGGG